UACGUAGGGGGCAAGCGUUGUCCGGAAUUAUUGGGCGUAAAGAGCGUGUAGGCGGCCAGGUAGGUCUGCUGUGAAAACUCGAGGCUUAACCUCGAGCUGUCGGCGGAAACCAUCUGGCUAGAGUCCGGAAGAGGAGAAUGGAAUUCCCGGUGUAGCGGUGAAAUGCGCAGAUAUCGGGAAGAACACCCGUGGCGAAGGCGGUUCUCUGGGACGGUACUGACGCUGAGACGCGAAAGCGUGGGGAGCAAACAGG
rnacentral:rRNA from 1 species